CACCUUCUUCAUAAAGAAAAAAAAUGGGGGAGUUUUAUCAAACUGGUGUACGUAGAUCUGGCUUAGUUGCCCAUAGCAACCAAUUAGAUUCCUCCUUUUAAUUUCCAAAGGAGCUGCCAAAAAUAAAAGGUGGGAUCUGAUUGGUGCUAUGGACAACUAAGCCA